UAUACCAAAAUGUAGAUCUAAACAAGCUAAACAACUAU
rnacentral:sRNA from 1 species